AGGAUUUGUAUUUCAGAUCCAUCUUGACUCCCAUCUCUACCUGCGUACCAGAUGCUUUCCUCUCUAUGAUUUUUCCUCAUAUUGAACCCUAAAGUCGUCUUAGCCACAGCCUGCAUUUCCUAUAUUCACAGUCGCCCUCCAGUACCUUGCUGGGUUUCUCCUCCCCGACCUCCCUGCCCUUCUCUACUCUUGCCAUGUUGAGAGACUCCAAAGUCCACUCCUGUGCCCUGGGCUGGAGACUUCCUUUCUGUAGUGGUCAACACCUACCUGUGCUUCAGAUCUCAGCAUGAUCAGCCCUGGUGAUAAUCACCACUAUGCUUCCCUCGGCUCCCAGCUGAGGUCAGUUUCCCUUUAAUAAUCUCUCAUGCUAUCAUGUAUCUGUUAGUCAGUAGAAUUUAGCACAAUUGGAAUCUUCCAGAUACUUUAAACCCCAUGAAGACCAAGGCUAUGUCUGCUUUAUAUCCCAACAGCAGUGCCUGGCACAGGGGGAGACCCAUUUCAAAGAGAAUGGAUGAGUCAAUGACGCAGUGAAUGAUGGGUGGAUGGAUCAACGAAUAACAGGAGCACCCUAGAUCCAUUUUACCCUGGCAGAGAUCUGGCAUUAACUACAAGAAAUCUUACCCGUUUGAUUGCUGGGCUAGGGUAGGUCCCUGAAAUUAAUGGGGAGUCGCUAUCAUGGGUAAGAUUCCUCCUGUGUCUGCAGCACCAGACCUCCUCCAGGUCUCUAUGCUCUCCUUCGGACUCUUUCCCCACAACAACUCUAGACAGAUCAGAGAUCCAUUUCCAGAAACCCAUGCACACAGGUUUGUGAUUUUGGAACCACUUCUGGUACCAAAAACUCCAUUACGUUUACAUCAAUAAAACAGAGCCACUAAGAGUACUAUGGAGAGGAGGAUGUAUGACAGGAGUUAGACCUUAUGUAAAUGUAGGGGGAGCUGAGGAAGAGAAGGUCUGGAGGGGAGAUCUAGCCAGCAGAUUUAAUUCAUGAUUAAUGUGACCUCUUAUUCUACUCAAAGGAGAGCAUAUGAUUUGAAAUAAAAAAAUAUUGAUUUUCCUUUGUAAAAGUUGGACCUAAAUAGUGAGCUACUUUUGUCCCGUAAUUGUCUUAAGUUGGCUAAUGGUGGAACAAAUCCUUGAUGCUAGGACUUUGGUUUCCUUGGAAGAACAGGAAAAACAAAAACAAACAACCACAACAACAAAAAAACAAAACCUCAUGCAUAUACAGCCUUACAGGCUCUGUUUUUUGGAGGAAGCAUAAUAAAAAAGAAACAGAAAAUCAGAAUUCUCUUCUGGAACCUACAUUGGGGCUGUCCUCAGAGCAGGCUGUGAUGUGAGGAAUCUAAUCUACGGGGGUAUUUCGCAGCUCAGAGUGCAGCAGACAGUUCCUGACCCCAUGCAUUUGGGGGUGAGACCGGAGACAGUUGAAAAGCUAUGGAGUCUUGAUGUUCUGCACUCUCAACCCUGGCUUCUCCCUGAAUUUCACAGAUUAACAUCAGACCAAUUCACUCCCACUAUUAAAAAUAUUAAAACAAAAACCGAGGAGGAACAGUGAGCAGAAGCAAUAAACUAUUAAAAUGAACAUCUUGAAGAUUUAAAAUUCUGCCAUCAUAAGAUGUGAAUGUUCGAAGAGCUACAUUUAAAUGAAUACAAGAAGGAACUGAAAUGAGGACACGAAAAAAGAGGCUGCCCCAAACCAUCAAAAAACAUUAAAGAAAUAAUCAAAUAGAAUGUCUAGAAACAUUAUGAUUACUCCAGAAAACCAAAUGGAAGCUAAACAGCAGAUUCAAUGCUUCUAAAGAGAUUAGUAGCAAUAUCAAAGAUGGAUCUCAAGAAAUCACCUAGAAUGAAAGAAAAUUAAAUGUAAAAUAUUAAAAAGUGAAGGAACAAGGAAAAAAUUAAGUUUCUAGAAUAUCAGAAAGUAUAUAAUGUUUUAUUGAAAUUUUUAUUUUUUUCUUAUAUAUAAUUGAAGUUUCAGAAAGAGAAAAUAGGGCAAAUGGCCUGAGAUGACUGUGUAUAUGAUAUUAGCUGAGAAUGUUCCUGAGAUGUUUGAGACCGAAAUUCUUGUUCAAGAAUUCAGAUGAAUUGCAAGACGAAUAGGUAGGUCCUAGUGAAAUUGCAGACCACAAAUGACAAAGAGAAGAUUUUAACAGCAGUCAAAAGGGAGAGAUAAAUAUCUUUCAGUGGAAUAGAAUGAGAGAAAUAGUUAAAGUCACGAAAGAGAAUUAAAACUAACUGUUAAAUCAGAAUUGCAGUCCUCAGUUAUUGAAGAUUCAGAUUGAUUUAAAAAAAAUCUAUAGGACAGGAAAAGAAAAUAUGGAACACUAAAAAAAUUCUGUGAGUUUGCCCCCAAGGUAUCUUUUCUGAAUUAUAGUUAACGAGGGUGGGAAAUGAUCCCAGAAGAAAGGCAUGAGGGCAGUUUAUGAGGAAACCCAUGUGAUAGGGCAGUCCCGUUGGGCACGUGUGACUGGGGGAAUGGAGGAGGCUGCGGCAUGAAUGGGGAUGGCAGAGGGGACCCCGACUUGCAGGAAAGACAAUGAGCUCACCCUUUGGUGCCUGGUGUUGGGGUUGCUGUUGGCACAUCCUACAGAACGUGCCCAGCAGACAGAGGAGGGGCUGUGGGAUGAGAAGGUGAACUCGGAGACGCAGCAUGAAGCCUCUCGGUCCAGAUAGUACAGGAGCCCAAAGCGAUGUCCCAUGCAAAUAACGUUGUUUACAAGGAGCGUAUAAAUAUUUAAAGUAAUCAUCCAAGUGUGUUCUAAUAUAAAUCCUGUGUUCCUGAGGUCAUGCAGAUUGGGAGAGGAAGUGAUGUCACUGCGGGAACUUCCGUGUAAGGACAGGGACGUCCCUCUUCCUCUGCUCCUGCUCACAAUGACCCUGAUCUGGUAAAGCUCCCAUCCUGCCCUGACUCUGCCAUGGGCACCAGGCUCCUCUGCUGGGCAGCCCUGUGCCUCCUGGGGGCAGAUCACACAGGUGCUGGAGUUUCCCAGUCCCCCAGGAACAAGGUCACAGAGGAGGGAAAGGAUGUAGUGCUCAGGUGUGAUCCAAUUUCAGGUCAUACCGCCCUUUAUUGGUACCGACAGAGCCUGGGGAAGGGCCUGGAGUUUUUAAUUUACUUCCAAGGCAACGAUGCACCAGACAAAUCAGGGCUGCCCAGUGGUCGGUUCUCUGCAGAGAGGACUGAGGGAUCCGUCUCCACUCUGAAGAUCCAGCGCACAGAGCAGGGGGACUCGGCCGUGUAUCUCUGUGCCAGCAGCUUAGCCACAGCGUGGCACGGUCGCCUCCUUCCUGUUCACAAACCUCAUCCUUCUGUCUCCUUGCAGCAUCUAGAGACCCUUAACAGAGGCUUCUCUUUGCUCCCCGCUCCCCGCUCCCUGUGGGAAACAAGUAGAUUUGGACCUCAGCUGUCCUUUGGGUAGAAAGAGAUCACAGAUUCACCCCUAAGACACAGUAACUGUAAAUGUGGGUGGUGGAAGCAAUCGUGGCCCACUGGACUCUAGGAGUCUUCAGAGCCAGCUCACCGCUCUAAGGCAAGCACUGGGUGUCUUAGCCUCGGCCUUCAGGGCUGGGACAUGCAGUUUUCUUUGGGGCCUGGGAGGUUGCUGCCCGCAUACAGAAGCUUUGGGCAUGGGCAAGGAACAGGCCUGUUCCCCUGCAUGAAUUCGGGCAUCUGGCAUCUGCAAGGUCUGAAGCUUCAUCCACAGGAACAUUUUUUCUUCUGAAGCCUCUUCUAUCCCUGUCACAUUGGAAGUUUUCUGCAGUACCAGAGCAAAACAAUCUUCGUGUUUGACUUCAACAUCCUUGUGGCUUUUGUGACAAUUACUUGAUGAAUACAGCCAUGAUAACAA